rnacentral:lncRNA from 1 species
GUUGUGUUUCGAUGUCCCCGGCAUCCCGCUGUUUGUGCAUGCGUUCCCUGUCGAUAUCCUGGAGGCGUACUCGAGUGGGGCUAGAGAUAUCAUGUUCGCCUCACUGGGUGCUCAUGGACGAGGCCAAGAGAACGAGCGCAUCGUUGGCGGGGUUUUGGGGGCCGGAGGCAUGCGAGAGCAGCGUCUAGAGGUGGUUCAUUGGAUCCAUGAGCUAAGUGCGUUGUGUGCCCGCGUCCGACAGCUUGAGAUGUUUGGGCGUCAGUCAGUUUGCUAUUUCUCUAUUAUUU